CGGGGCGUGGUGUAACGGCUAACAUUUCCGCUUUGGGAGCGGACGACUCUGGGUUCGAAUCCCAGCGCCCCGA
rnacentral:tRNA from 1 species